AUCCUUUUGUAGUUCAUGAGCAUGAUGAUGUGUGUUCACAGGCAUGCGUGACAUGUGCCUCCCUCAAACCUUGUUAUGACAUCGGCACAUUACCAGUCUGACG
rnacentral:snoRNA from 1 species